rnacentral:rRNA from 2 species
AUACAUGCAAGUCGAACGCACUCUCGUUAGAUUGAAGAAGCUUGCUUCUGAUUGAUAACAUUUGAGUGAGUGGCGGACGGGUGAGUAACACGUGGGUAACCUGCCCUAAAGUGGGGGAUAACAUUUGGAAACAGAUGCUAAUACCGCAUAAAACCUAGCACCGCAUGGUGCAAGGUUGAAAGAUGGUUUCGGCUAUCACUUUAGGAUGGACCCGCGGUGCAUUAGUUAGUUGGUGAGGUAAAGGCUCACCAAGACCGUGAUGCAUAGCCGACCUGAGAGGGUAAUCGGCCACACUGGGACUGAGACACGGCCCAGACUCCUACGGGAGGCAGCAGUAGGGAAUCUUCCACAAUGGACGAAAGUCUGAUGGAGCAACGCCGCGUGAGUGAAGAAGGUUUUCGGAUCGUAAAACUCUGUUGUUGGAGAAGAACGUAUUUGAUAGUAACUGAUCAGGUAGUGACGGUAUCCAACCAGAAAGCCACGGCUAACUACGUGCCAGCAGCCGCGGUAAUACGUAGGUGGCAAGCGUUGUCCGGAUUUAUUGGGCGUAAAGCGAGCGCAGGCGGUUUCUUAAGUCUGAUGUGAAAGCCUUCGGCUCAACCGAAGAAGUGCAUCGGAAACUGGGAAACUUGAGUGCAGAAGAGGACAGUGGAACUCCAUGUGUAGCGGUGAAAUGCGUAGAUAUAUGGAAGAACACCAGUGGCGAAGGCGGCUGUCUGGUCUGUAACUGACGCUGAGGCUCGAAAGCAUGGGUAGCAAACAGGAUUAGAUACCCUGGUAGUCCAUGCCGUAAACGAUGAGUGCUAGGUGUUGGAGGGUUUCCGCCCUUCAGUGCCGCAGCUAACGCAUUAAGCACUCCGCCUGGGGAGUACGACCGCAAGGUUGAAACUCAAAGGAAUUGACGGGGGCCCGCCACAAGCGGUGGAGCAUGUGGUUUAAUUCGAAGCAACGCGAGAACCCUUACCAGGUCUUGACAUCCCUUUGACCACUUCUAGAGAUAGAGCUUUCCUUCGGGGACAAAGUGACAGGUGGUGCAUG